rnacentral:rRNA from 1 species
AUUGAACGCUGGCGGCAUGCCUUACACAUGCAAGUCGAACGGCAGCACGGGAGCAAUCCUGGUGGCGAGUGGCGAACGGGUGAGUAAAGUAUCGGAACGUGCCCAGUCGUGGGGAUAACGUAGCGAAAGUUACGCUAAUACCGCAUACGAUCUAUGGAUGAAAGCGGGGGAUCGCAAGACCUCGCGCGAUUGGAGCGGCCGAUAUCAGAUUAGGUAGUUGGUGGGGUAAAGGCUCACCAAGCCGACGAUCUGUAGCUGGUCUGAGAGGACGACCAGCCACACUGGGACUGAGACACGGCCCAGACUCCUACGGGAGGCAGCAGUGGGGAAUUUUGGACAAUGGGCGAAAGCCUGAUCCAGCCAUGCCGCGUGCAGGAUGAAGGCCUUCGGGUUGUAAACUGCUUUUGUACGGAACGAAAAGGUUUGGCCUAAUAAGCUGAGCUCAUGACGGCACCGUAAGAAUAAGCACCGGCUAACUACGUGCCAGCAGCCGCGGUAA